UCAGAACGAGCGCUGCGGCAGGCUAACACAUGCAAGUUGAGCGGGAUUCAUUAUAGCUUGCUAUGGAUGAUGAGAGCAGCGCACUGGUGAGUAACACGUGGGAACAUGCCUUUGUGGGGGACAACAGUUGGAAACGACUGCUAAUACCGCAUACGCCCUGAGGGGAAAGAUUAAUUGCCGAAAGAUUGGCCCGCGGAAGAUUAGGUAGUAGGUGGGGUAACGGCCUACCUAGCCGACGAUCUAUAGCUGGUCUGAGAGGACGAUCAGCCACAUUGGAACUGAGACACGGUCCAGACUCCUACGGGAGGCAGCAGUGAGGAAUAUUGGGCAAUGGAGGGAACUCUGACCCAGCCAUGCCCGCGUGAGUGAAGAAGGUUUUCGGAUUGUAAAGCUCUUUCAGAUGGGAAGAUGAUGACGGUACCAUCAGAAGAAGCACCGGCUAACUUCGUGCCAGCAGCAGC
rnacentral:rRNA from 1 species